rnacentral:rRNA from 1 species
CACGCAGGCGGUCCGUUAAAUAAGGAGUGAAAGCCCUGGGCUCAACCCGGGAAUUGCUCUUUAGACUGGCGGACUUGAAUCCGGAAGAGGGCAGUGGAAUUCCAAGUGUAGAGGUGAAAUUCGUAGAUAUUUGGAAGAACACCAGUGGCGAAGGCGACUGCCUGGUCCGGCAUUGACGCUCAUGUGCGAAAGCGUGGGGAGCAAACAGGAUUAGAUACCCUGGUAGUCCACGCUGUAAACGAUGAGUGCUAGUUGUUGGGGUGCAUGCACCUCAGUGACGCAGCUAACGCAUUAAGCACUCCGCCUGGGGAGUACGGCCGCAAGGUUAAA